AGUGGGUGUAACGUACCUACUAGCCUACGACGGGUACGGGUUGUGAGAGCAAGAGCCCGGAGAUGGAUUCUGAGACACGAAUCCAGGCCCUACGGGGUGCAGCAGGCGCGAAAACUUUACAAUGCGGGAAACCGUGAUAAGGGGAUCUCGAGUGCCAGCAUAUAAUGUUGGCUGUCCAGAUGCCUAAAAAGCAUCUGUUAGCAAGGGCCGGGCAAGACCGGUGCCAGCCGCCGCGGUAACACCGGCGGCCCGAGUGGUAACCGCUUUUAUUGGGUCUAAAGGGUCUGUAGCCGGCCAAGUAAGUCCCUUGGGAAAUCUGGCAGCUUAACUGUCAGGCUGCUAGGGGAUACUGCUGGGCUUGGGACCGGGAGAGGUGAGAGGUACCUUGGGGGUAGGGGUGAAAUCUUGUGAUCCUCGGGGGACCACCAGUGGCGAAGGCGUCUCACCAGAACGGGUCCGACGGUAAGGGACGAAAGCUAGGGGCACGAACCGGAUUAGAU
rnacentral:rRNA from 1 species